rnacentral:rRNA from 1 species
UACGGAGGGUGCAAGCGUUAUCCGGAUUUACUGGGUUUAAAGGGUGUGUAGGCGGACUUUUAAGUCAGCGGUGAAAUCUCCGGGCUUAACCCGGAACUGCCGUUGAUACUAUAUAUCUUGAAUGCUGUGGAGGUAAGCAGAAUAUGUCAUGUAGCGGUGAAAUGCUUAGAGAUGACAUAGAAUACCUAUUGCGAAGGCAGCUUACUACGCAGAUAUUGACGCUCAUGCACAAAGCGUGGGGGAUCAAACAGG